GCCCAAGAGAUCGGGAUAACACCUGGAAACAGAUGCUAAUACCGGAUAACAACAGAUGAUGCCUAUCAACUGUUUAAAAGAUGGUUCUGCUAUCACUCUUGGAUGGACCUGCGGUGCAUUAGCUAGUUGGUAGGGUAACGGCCUACCAAGGCGAUGAUGCAUAGCCGAGUUGAGAGACUGAUCGGCCACAUUGGUACUGAGACACGGCCCAAACUCCUACGGGAGGCAGCAGAC
rnacentral:rRNA from 1 species